UACGUAGGGUGCGAGCGUUAAUCGGAAUUACUGGGCGUAAAGCGUGCGCAGGCGGUUCGUUAUGUCCGAUGUGAAAGCCCCGAGCUCAACUUGGGAAUGGCAUUGGAAACUGGCGGGCUGGAGUGUGGCAGUGGGGGGUGGAAUUCCACGUGUAGCAGUGAAAUGCGUGGAGAUGUGGAGGAACACCGAUGGCGAAGGCAGCCCCCUGGGCCAACACUGACGCUCAGGCACGAAAGCGUGGGGAGCAAACAGG
rnacentral:rRNA from 1 species